AUUGAACGCUGGCGGCAGGCUUAACACAUGCAAGUCGAGCGGAGCGAGGGUGCUUGCACCUUAGCUUAGCGGCGGACGGGUGAGUAAUGCUUAGGAAUCUGCCUAUUAGUGGGGGACAACAUUCCGAAAGGAAUGCUAAUACCGCAUACGCCCUACGGGGGAAAGCAGGGGAUCUUCGGACCUUGCGCUAAUAGAUGAGCCUACGUCGGAUUAGCUAGUUGGUGGGGUAAAGGCCUACCAAGGCGACGAUCUGUAGCGGGUCUGAGAGGAUGAUCCGCCACACUGGGACUGAGACACGGCCCAGACUCCUACGGGAGGCAGCAGUGGGGAAUAUUGGACAAUGGGCGGAAACCUGAUCCAGCCAUGCCGCGUGUGUGAAGAAGGCCUUUUGGUUGUAAAGCACUUUAAGCGAGGAGGAGGCUACUUAGAUUAAUACUCUGGGAUAGUGGACGUUACUCGCAGAAUAAGCACCGGCUAACUCUGUGCCAGCCGCCGCAGUAA
rnacentral:rRNA from 1 species